rnacentral:sRNA from 1 species
UAAUUCAUAGGUUAGUUGAGGAACAACUUCAGGCUGGUCAUAUUUAACCAAUGCUUAGUCCUUGGAACACACCUAUUUUUGUUAUUAAGAAAAAGUCAGGAAAUUGGAGAUUGCUACAGGACUUAAGUGCAAUAAAUCAUGCAAUUUGACCUAUGGGAUCAUUACAGCCAGGACUUCCCUCCCCCAGAGCCAUCCCUUUAGACUAUAGCUUGAUGGUAAUAGAUUUAAGAGACUGUUUUUUUCUCUAUAAGGUUACAUCCUGGAGAUUGUGAGAGAUUUGCCUUCAC